UACGUAGGUGGCAAGCGUUGUCCGGAUUUACUGGGUGUAAAGGGCGUGUAGACGGGACUUAAAGUCAGAUGUGAAAUACCGCAGCUUAACUGCGGGGGUGCAUUUGAAACUUAAGUUCUUGAGUGCAGGAGAGGAAAGCGGAAUUCCUAGUGUAGCGGUGAAAUGCGUAGAUAUUAGGAGGAACACCGGUGGCGAAGGCGGCUUUCUGGACUGUAACUGACGUUGAGGCGCGAAAGCGUGGGUAGCAAACAGG
rnacentral:rRNA from 1 species